rnacentral:rRNA from 1 species
GAUGAACGCUGGCGGCGUGCCUAAUACAUGCAAGUCGAGCGAACGGACGAGAAGCUUGCUUCUCUGAUGUUAGCGGCGGACGGGUGAGUAACACGUGGAUAACCUACCUAUAAGACUGGGAUAACUUCGGGAAACCGGAGCUAAUACCGGAUAAUAUUUUGAACCGCAUGGUUCAAAAGUGAAAGACGGUCUUGCUGUCACUUAUAGAUGGAUCCGCGCUGCAUUAGCUAGUUGGUAAGGUAACGGCUUACCAAGGCAACGAUGCAUAGCCGACCUGAGAGGGUGGUCGGCCACACUGGAACUGAGACACGGUCCAGACUCCUACGGGAGGCAGCAGUAGGGAAUCUUCCGCAAUGGGCGAAAGCCUGACGGAGCAACGCCGCGUGAGUGAUGAAGGUCUUCGGAUCGUAAAGCUCUGUUAUUAGGGAAGAACAUAUGUGUAAGUAACUGUGCACAUCUUGACGGUACCUAAUCAGAAAGCCACGGCUAACUACGUG